rnacentral:lncRNA from 1 species
UUCAACUAACUCUGUAGAGAUCAAACUAAUUGGCAUGGAUGGCAGCAGGACACGAUGAGCCAGAUAAGUGGUUCUCCAAGAAUGAUCCCCAGACUAGCUGCAUGAGCAUCAGCUGUCAUGCAGAAAUUAAGAUUCUCAUUCCAAAGGAGUCCUACCUCAUACCUGGAAGGAAGAAAUGCUACAACAGAGAGGCCAAGAAGAAUCUCAACAGACAAGCCUUGCUAGUUUUCCUCACUUAGGCCACUAUCAUUAGAGCACUCUGUUUUCAUUCAAGCACAAUUCUAUCACUGCCCAUUCUUCAUUAAACCUAAGCAUAAAAAUGCAGUUUUCCCCUGUAUCGUCAGGACUUCAUUCAGAA